AUAAGUGAGGAUGAGAAGCUUAUAAUUAUAAUGUUAUAACAUGAGCAUUGCUUACAUGUGUUUUAGAACCAUACUUGUAUUUGUGCAGUGGUGGUAUAAAGUGUUGGAUCUCCGAUUUGGUUAAUGCAUUUUACUGAUUAUGUUUUCUGAAUCUGCAAAUUCGACUGGUAAGUUUACUGUGACGACGUAUGAAAGUGGCAAAAUGAUGAUGGUAUUCAAGUGAAAGUCGACAAGCUUUCUUCCACAUGAGCCCAACUUAACUAUGAGUAUUAUUUUCUCAAAUAAUGUGAGCGCACAAAAAUUAUGAACACUGCUGAGAAUUUAGGAGAGGUUCUUAUUUACACAUUUCAAAUGAGGGGAGAAGUUACUUACAAAGUUUCAUGAUGUAUGAAGCUUGAUGCCGAAGCUGCAAAUAAUUUGAAAGAGAAAAAAUUGAUGAUGAGUACCGACUAAACAUAUAUCCAAGCAUUUUGGAAUCGAGGAAGACAAGAAGGGAAGAGAACAUUUUUAUUGUAGGAUAUCGUGGCUUAUUUCUAAGAUAUAG